rnacentral:rRNA from 1 species
GGAUGUUGGCUUAGAAGCAGCCAUCAUUUAAAGAAAGCGUAACAGCUCACUGGUCUAAAUAAGGGUCUUUGCGCCGAAAAUGUAACGGGGCUAAAGCCAUGCACCGAAGCUGAGGAUAAGACAGUCGUAGUGGCUGUUUUGUGGUAGCGGAGCGUUCCGUAAGUCUGUGAAGGGGGACCCGUGAGGGCCCCUGGAGAUAUCGGAAGUGCGAAUGUUGACAUGAGUAACGAUAAAGGGAGUGAGAGACUCCCUCGCCGAAAGACCAAGGGUUCCUGCUUAAAGUUAAUCUGAGCAGGGUUAGCCGGCCCCUAAGACGAGGCGGACACGCGUAGUCGAUGGGAACCACGUUAAUAUUCGUGGGCCUGGUGGUAGUGACGGAUCUCGUGUGUUGUACAUUCUUAUUGGAUUGAAUGUGCGGCGAAGAGGCUCCAGGAAAUAGCUCCACCGUAUAGACCGUACCCGACACCGCCCCCCGCUGUCCGGCAGCGUCCACCAAGGCCCUCGAGAGCACUAUGUUGCAGCAACUCGGCAAAUUGCACGCGUCACUUCGGAAGCACCGCUACCCCUUCCUACGCAACUCGUAUGGGGUGGCACUGACCAGGGGGUAGCGCCUGUUUAUCCAAAACACAGCGCUCUCCGCCGUAGCCCUACGACGCACAGGGUCCCACGCCUGCCCG